rnacentral:RNase_P_RNA from 1 species
UGAGUAUACCGAAUAGUCGCAUGGAUAAAACCAUGAGGAAAGUCCGAGCUCCGUAGGGCGAGGGUGCUAGGUAACACCUAGUGGAGGCGACUCUAAGGAAAGUGCAACAGAGAUAUACCGCCUGUAAUUCAGGUAAGGGUGGAAAGGUGAGGUAAGAGCUUACCAGCAAUUGGGUGAUCAAUUGGCUAUGUAAACCCCAUCCGGAGCAAGACCAAGUAGGAUCAAGAAAGGGGGCUGCCCGUCCCUAUCCGUAGGUAGGUCGCUUGAGCCUGCUGGUGACAGCAGGCCUAGAUAGAUGGCUAUUCAAGACAGAACUCGGCUUACAGGUAUACUCAUUAA